rnacentral:lncRNA from 1 species
ACUUUGGAGAAGAAUGCAGCCAGAGAUGGGUGGACUCCAGGGAAAGAUUACCUGCUGCCCUGGUUGCUCAUUUUUGUGGUUAUUUGUUGAUUACAUGCUAAACAAGGGGUGGAUUAUUCAUGCCUCCCCUUUUAGACCAUAUAGGGUAAUUUCCUGAUGUUGCCAUGGCAUUUGUAAACUGUCAUGGCGCUGGUGGGAGUGUAGCA